rnacentral:lncRNA from 1 species
CCUCUCCAAUCUGUGUUCCCCAGCACUACCUGCUUAAUCCCUGGAUCAGGAGCUGAUCACGGUGGGGAGCAGGAGUGGAUAUUUAAAUAGAAGUCAGACUGUGCUUCGCUGCCAACCAAAGAACCCUGUUGAUACCAAAGGCUUCGAGGAUGGUGUAGGCCCAGAUUGCCAUCACACCAAAGAGGAUGCCUACAAAAUAUUCCAGUAAGAUGGAACGGACAUAAGGAUAUUGACAUAAGGACCGUCUGUGUCGGGAGCCCAGAGGGUGGACACAGGCCCCUGGACAAGUGAGUGGCACAAUCUGCCUCAGAAGGACGGGGGUAGCUGCUUUCCUGUCUCCCAACCCUGAGGUGCUCAUCCCAUGGGGAUCUUGAUUCCGCUGAGAGGUCUCAGUAGAUCCACCCCAGGGCCCAGGAUGCA